CCUCACUGUUCUCUGGACAUGCACCCUGGACAUUCUCUGUGUCCCAAAUCAUGACUCAAGCCCUGUCUCUGCCAUGUUCUACCAGCAGCAGCCGAGGAUGGGCAUAUCAUCCCCCUAAGCCUCAGUUUCAUCAUCAGCAAAUAGGGAGAGUAAGAAUCCCAACGGCACAGGCUUGUCAACUGAGGAUUGAAUGAGGUCAUCGAUAUACGGGAAAUUCCUCGCCUCUGGACCGCACCCGCCCUUGAACACCUCCCGAUCUCUUUGGGCAGAGUGCAAGCCAGACAGAGCUGGGGACAGUGAAGUGGCCAUCCUCAGCCCUGUGUGUGCCAGGAGCCCCCUCCCAGGGAGUGGGGGGCAGGUGGCCCCGCUGCAGGAGGGCAGGGGCGGCAGAGGGAGCCUGGCAUGGGCGGCUGGGACAGAGUCCUUCUUAAAGGAGAGUACAUCAUGAGAAACGCUGGGCUGGAAGAAGCACAAGCUGGAAUCAAGAUUGCCGGGAGACAUAUCAAUAACCUCAGAUAUGCAGAUGACACCACCCUUAUGGCAGAAAGUGAAGAGGAACUAAAAAGCCUCUUGAUGAAAGUGAAAGAGAAGAGUGAAAAAGUUGGCUUAAAGCUCAACAUUUAGAAAACUAAGAUCAUGGCAUAGUCAAUAAAGCAGAAAUAGAUGUUCUUCUGGAACUCUCUUGCUUUUUCCAUGAUCCAGCGGAUGUUGGUAAUUUGAUCUCUGGUUCCUCUGCCUUUGCUAAAACCAGCUUGAAUAUCUGGAAUUUCAUAGUUCACAUAUUGCUGGAGCCUGGCUUGGAGAAUUUUGAGCAUUACUUUACUAGCAUGUGAGAUGAGUACAAUUGUGUGGUAGUUUGAGCAUUCUUUGGCAUUGCCUUUCUUUGGGAUUGGAAUGAAAACUGACCUUUUCCAGUCCUGUGGCCACUGCUGAGUUUUCCAAAUUUGCUGGGAUAUCGAGUGCAGCACUUUCACAGCAUCAUCUUCCAGGAUUUGAAAUAGCUCAACUGGGAUUCCAUCACCUCCACUAGCUUUGUUCGUAGUGGUGCUUUCUAAGGCCUACUUAACUUCACGUUCCAGGAUGUCUGGCUCGAGCUAUUUGGAAGGAAAGUUAUGACCAACCUAGAUAGCAUAUUGAAAAGCAGAGAUAUUACUUUACCAACAAUGGUCCAUCUAGUCAAGGCUAUGGUUUUUCCAGUGGUCAUGUAUGGAUGUGAAAGUUGGACUGUGAAGAAAGCUGAGCGCGAAAGAAUUGAUACUUUUGAACUGUGGUGUUGGAGAAGACUCUUGAGAGUCCCUUGGACUGCAAGGAGAUCCAACCAGUCCAUCCUAAAGGAGAUCAGUCCUGGGUGUUCAUUGGAAGGACUGAUGCUGAAGCUGAAACUCCAAUACUUUGGCCACCUCAUGUGAAGAGUUGACUCAUUGGAAAAGACUCUGAUGCUGGGCGGGAUUGGGGGCAGGAGGAGAAGGGGACGACAGAGGAUGAGAUGGCUGGAUGGCAUCACCGACUUGAUGGACAUGAGUUUGAGUGAACUCCGGGAGUUGGUGAUGGACAGGGAGGCCUGGCGUGGUGUUAUUCAUGGGGUCGCAAAAAGUCAGACACAACUGAGUGACUGAACUGAGCUGAACUGAAGUUCCCUCAUGCCUGCACCUAGUCAGGCCCCACCCCUGAGAUGACCAAGAUCUGAUUUCUAUCCCCAUAUUCAUUGGAAGGACUGAUGACUGUUGCUGAAGCUUAAACUCCAAUACUUUGGCCAUCUGAUGUGAAGAACUGACUCACUAGAAAAGACCCUGAUGCUGGGAAAGAUAGAAGGCGGGAGGAGAAGGGGACAACAGAGGAUGAGAUGGUUGGAUGGCCUCACCGGCUCAUUGGGCAUGAGUUUGCUUAAGAUCCAGGAUUUGGUGAUGGACAGGGAGGCCUGGCGUGCUGCAGUCCAUGGGGUCACAAAGAGUUGGAUGCCACUGAGCUCACGGUCUGGGCGUCUCUCACCGCCUCCCUCCUGGACCUCGAAGGGAAGGGGGAGGUCUCACCUCCAGAUUGGGAAAUUUGAUACCGGGAAUCUAAGUGACUUAUUCACCUAAGUUUGAUAAUGUGCCUUCGUGAGAUUUCCCUUGUGUUUAUCCUACUUGGGGCUCAUUCAUCAACUUUGGAACAGUUUUUGUCAUUACUUAUCCUAUCCCAACUAUUGUGUCUCAAAGAUGGUCUGCAGGGAACCAUCUGGGAGCUUGUUAAUGACGCCCCACCCAAAUAAGAAUCUCCUGGGAGUCUGUUUUGAACAAGUUCCUGGCUGAGUCUUCGGCGUACUGAAGGGAGACCACUUCAAGGAGUCCAUGAGUGCUCCAACUCAGGGCCUAGGUGUCACGCCUCUCUGUCCCUGAAGGGCCUCACUGUUGAAUGGAACACUCAGCUGCAAGAGUUUCUCUUCAUUCACUGAGUCAGCAAGAUUGGUGCCAUCUGCCUUCCCAUGCUACUAAAGCCCGACGCUGAAACUUGGACUCAUGAAUUUCAGGCACCAGGUAGCAGAGGAAAGAGACUCCUUGGGGGCUUUAAGAGGCUCCCCCAAACCCACCAAGGACGCUUCUGGGGAAAGCACGCCUGCUGACAUAACCACAUGACUGGGCGUGGGGGGAACUUCCUCGGUGACGCAGUGGUAAAGAAUCCGCCUGCCAAUGCAGGAGACAUGAGUUCGAUCCCUGGUCUGGGAAGAUCAUACUGUGGGGCAACUAAGCCAGUGCACCACCACUACUGAGCCUGUGCUCUAGAGCCUGGAAACUGCAACAAGAAACACCCACAGUGAGAAGCUUGUGUACCGCAACUAGAGAGUAACGUCUGCUUGCUGCAACUAGAGAAAAGCCUGCACAGCAACAAACGCCCAC